rnacentral:rRNA from 1 species
UACAGAGGUCCCGAGCGUUGUUCGGAUUCACUGGGCGUAAAGGGUGCGUAGGUGGUGAGGUAAGUCGGAUGUGAAAUCUCCGGGCUCAACCCGGAAAUGGCAUUGGAAACUACCUUGCUGGAGGAUUUGAGGGGGAUUGGAAUACUUGGUGUAGCAGUGAAAUGCGUAGAUAUCAAGUGGAACACCAGUGGCGAAGGCGAAUCCCUGGAAAAUACCUGAACACUGAGGCACGAAAGCUAGGGGAGCAAACAGG